rnacentral:lncRNA from 1 species
GCAGCGCCUUUUGUUCAAGUUAAUAAAGACUAUGCAGAGAGGCAUCCCAGGGAAUAAAUGCCCUGAACUUUCUUCCUCUAGUCUCUCACUGAUGUGCUCCAAUAUCCAAACCAAACUGGAAAAACUAGAGAGCAGAGAAGCUUGAAGAAGUGGCCUAUACUAGGCAGCCUCUUGGGACUCAGGAUGCAAAUUGGAGAGAAGAUCUGGAAGGACAAGCCGAAGAUACUUAGCACAAUCACCCAGAAGGAAUGCAGGUUACAAUUGGUGGGUCCCAUGGACUUUCUAUCUCCACAGGGAAGAAAUUUAAAAUGAAAAGAAACAAAAUACUUUCACAUUCUGGAGAUUUACUUGAUGACUUUCUUUAAUUACAGUCAAUUCCUUAUUCAAGAGGACUUAUAUUUCCAAUCCCACAUCCUUUCUUUCUCUCAAGGAGAACACUCAUACUGUUGUUUCCACAACUGCAAAUAUUAGAUGGUUUCAAAUUAUUGCUUUAUCAUUAUUUUUUCAAGUCAUUCUUUCAUGUGAAUACCUAAUUCAGAAUCUCUCUACGUGUUAAUAUCCCGAUUUAUGGGAGAGAUCAGUGGUCAUAAGGUUGUUUUGAGAAUUCAAUGAGUUAAGCAGAAGUAAAGAAGUUAGAAUUCUCCAUGGAACAGAAUAAAAUUUAAUCUAUGUCUCCCA